rnacentral:lncRNA from 1 species
GUAGAAAUAAUUCACUAAAUAUCAUUCAAAUGAUCUUUUUCUUUUCAGGAAAUGCUGAGGCUUAUUAACAUACCAGUUACUCAAGCAACAAGUGGUGUUCAGGUACAGCAGCCACCUCCAUCCAACAGAUUUUAUACUUUUGGAAACCAAUGGCAUGAAUAUUGUAUGCAGAAGAGAUUCAGAACAACCUUCAGAAGAACUGGACCACAAAUUUUAAAGACCCACUGGAGAAUUUCCGAGGGUGAUAAACGUCAAAACUCAGAGUCUUAAUGAGGACAAAGGGAAGGUUACAGUUGAUGAUAAGGUCUCUGAUGCUCUUCUUUUGUUAGGAAAUUCCUGACUUUAUGCAAUAGACCAAGAGAACACGACAGAGUGAGAACAUGGGUAAUAUCUUUAUGUCAAUAAAUACUGUUGAGAUGCUUGUUUCUAUGAAAUCUGUUAUGUACACGAAUGUUCAUCAGUUGACAUGAUUUCAGAUAAUGCUCUGGACCAUAAAUAUUUUUUGUUCUGCUUUUAGUUUUAAAAAUUUUUAUUUUUUAUUAAUACAUGUUUGCCAUACAUAACGAUUAUAUUCAUCAUGGAGAGUUGGUACACAUACAUAACACAUCUUUUUUACAC